rnacentral:rRNA from 1 species
AGAGUUUGAUCAUGGCUCAGAUUGAACGCUGGCGGCGUGCCUAACACACGCAAGUCGAGCGGUAACAGGUGUAGCAAUACAUGCUGACGAGCGGCGAACGGGUGAGUAAUGCUUUGGAAUCUUCCCAGUAGUGGGGAAUAACCAGUCGAAAGAUUGGCUAAUACCGCAUACGUCUGUAAAGGGAAAGCGGGGGCUCGUAAGACCUCGCGCUAUUGGAUGAGCCAAAGUCGGAUUAGCUUGUUGGUGGGGUAAUGGCCUACCAAGGCGACAAUCCGUAGCUGGUCUGAGAGGACGACCAGCCACACCGGAACUGAGACACGGUCCGGACUCCUACGGGAGGCAGCAGUGGGGAAUAUUGGACAAUGGGGGAAACCCUGAUCCAGCGACGCCGCGUGUGUGAAGAAGGCCUGCGGGUUGUAAAGCACUUUUAGUGGGGACAAAAAGCUACGGACUAAUACUCUGUGGUCUUGAUUUAACCCAAAGAAAAAGCACCGGCUAACUCUGUGCCAGCAGCCGCGGUAAUACAGAGGGUGCGAGCGUUAAUCGGAAUUACUGGGCGUAAAGCGCGCGUAGACGGUUUUGUAAGUCAGAUGUGAAAUCCCUGGGCUCAACCUGGGAACUGCAUUUGAGACUGCAUGGCUAGAGUAUGGAAGAGGGAAGUGGAAUUUCCGGUGUAGCGGUGAAAUGCGUAGAUAUCGGAAGGAACACCAGUGGCGAAAGCGACUUCCUGGUCCAAUACUGACGUUCAUGUGCGAAAGCGUGGGGAGCAAACAGGAUUAGAUACCCUAGUAGUCC